GACGAACGCUGGCGGCGUGCUUAACACAUGCAAGUCGAACGGAAAGGCCCUGCUUUUGUGGGGUGCUCGAGUGGCGAACGGGUGAGUAACACGUGAGUAACCUGCCCUUGACUUUGGGAUAACUUCAGGAAACUGGGGCUAAUACCGGAUAGGAGCUCCUGCUGCAUGGUGGGGGUUGGAAAGUUUCGGCGGUUGGGGAUGGACUCGCGGCUUAUCAGCUUGUUGGUGGGGUAGUGGCUUACCAAGGCUUUGACGGGUAGCCGGCCUGAGAGGGUGACCGGCCACAUUGGGACUGAGAUACGGCCCAGACUCCUACGGGAGGCAGCAGUGGGGAAUAUUGCACAAUGGGCGGAAGCCUGAUGCAGCAACGCCGCGUGCGGGAUGACGGCCUUCGGGUUGUAAACCGCUUUCGCCUGUGACGAAGCGUGAGUGACGGUAAUGGGUAAAGAAGCACCGGCUAACUACGUGCCAGCAGCCGCGGUGAUACGUAGGGUGCGAGCGUUGUCCGGAUUUAUUGGGCGUAAAGGGCUCGUAGGUGGUUGAUCGCGUCGGAAGUGUAAUCUUGGGGCUUAACCCUGAGCGUGCUUUCGAUACGGGUUGACUUGAGGAAGGUAGGGGAGAAUGGAAUUCCUGGUGGAGCGGUGGAAUGCGCAGAUAUCAGGAGGAACACCAGUGGCGAAGGCGGUUCUCUGGGCCUUUCCUGACGCUGAGGAGCGAAAGCGUGGGGAGCGAACAGGCUUAGAUACCCUGGUAGUCCACGCUGUAAACGGUGGGUACUAGGUGUGGGGUCCAUUCCACGGGUUCCGUGCCGUAGCUAACGCUUUAAGUACCCCGCCUGGGGAGUACGGCCGCAAGGCUAAAACUCAAAGGAAUUGACGGGGCCCCGCACAAGCGGCGGAGCAUGCGGAUUAAUUCGAUGCAACGCGUAGAACCUUACCUGGGUUUGACAUGGAUCGGGAGUGCUCAGAGAUGGGUGUGCCUCUUUUGGGGUCGGUUCACAGGUGGUGCAUGCCUGUCGUCAGCUCGUGUCGUGAGAUGUUGGGUUAAGUCCCGCAACGAGCGCAACCCUUGUUCACUGUUGCCAGCACGUUAUGGUGGGGACUCAGUGGAGACCGCCGGGGUCAACUCGGAGGAAGGUGGGGAUGACGUCAAGUCCUCAUGCCCCUUAUGUCCAGGGCCUCACGCAUGCUACAAUGGCUGGUACAGAGAGUGGCGAGCCUGUGAGGGUGAGCGAAUCUCGGAAAGCCGGUCUCAGUUCGGAUUGGGGUCUGCAACUCGACCUCAUGAAGUCGGAGUCGCUAGUAAUCGCAGAUCAGCAACGCUGCGGUGAAUACGUUCCCGGG
rnacentral:rRNA from 1 species